rnacentral:lncRNA from 1 species
AGCCACUCUAGAUCUCAUCCAGAUGGCCACCCCAUUCAAAAUCCCAAGCCCACAACCAUGUGCGCACACACGCCACCAAUGAGGGGUUUGGCCUCCAAGCUUUCACACACAAGGAGAGAAUGUGAGCCCCUUCUCAUCCUUAUCCACAAGGGGUAGGGCAGCCUCACAAAUUGGAUCUUAUCCAAAACAAGGUCGUGCUAAGGAUCUCAUCCACACACCCA